CUGUCUCCUUCAAAUCAAUGGUCAGGUUGGCCGAGCCACACUCAGACCUAGGCAUUCAUUUACUGGAUGCACUUGAUGUAGUCAUAUUAAUAGUUGGACCUAACUAAAUUUUUUAGUGGAGGCACCACACGCCUGCUGAAGAGAUAUCUGAGGCCAAAUCUAAUUGCUAAAAAUUAUUUAAAAAAAUAAUUGAUUAAAAACCUACCCAUGGAUGCACUA
rnacentral:lncRNA from 1 species